AGAUUGUCUUCCCCUUGUCUUCUGUCCUUGUUGGAUAUUUAUAUGCCAUGCGUAGCACGCAAUUAACAUGAGUUGAAGCUCAUCGCUUCGUCUUUCGGCCUCUUGCUUGCCUCGUUCGUCGCGCUGUUUAAGCUUUCAUACGUAGCAGCUAGCAGUCGUCAACGCUCUACUUGAGCAUAUUUCUUUCUUUUCCAAAUCCAGUCGGUACUUUCUUGCCACUGUUAUUUCCAUUUGCUACUUGUUUAUUAAGGCGCUGCACAGCAUAGCGUCAGCAAAUCACUUGAGCCAACGUUCAAGUCUCCAGCAAUCCUACUGUGGGCGUAGUACUCUUCUUUGCUGUAACAUCGGCACACUGAUCCAGAAAGGUAAUUGCGUGUCAAUCUGUCGACCUAUGGUUAAAAUCCUGGCUGUGCACAGCCAUUCGUCUAUGAAAUUCUCGUUAACUCUUUUAGGAUUCAAGCUGUGGACACUGGCAGCGGCAGUGGACAACAGCAACAGCGGCGCCCUUUAAGGGUAAAAAAAUUGCCCAUGUCCUCAUGUAUCAGCUGAGUAUAUGAAAGACUGGCUUACGGAAGGAGGCAUGAUGUAUUUUGCAAUAGCAUUAUUUCUGGCCUUCGUUUCUUCUACCCAAACAGAAGGUGCUUCGCUAAUUCAAGAACUACAUCCCGGAAGCUUUAAAAAGCCUGUAUUUGUCAACUCAAGUCACUGCAUCGUGAGUCGUACUGUCCAGCUGCCAGAUAAAGGACAGGCAACAUUUCCCCGACCCUGCAUCAGGCUUACGUGCCAUGUCGACGAAAAACGACUGACAGAGGAAUACUGCAAUCCACCUGGGAAUUACAACGAAAAUGCCAUUAGAUACGAACCACCAGGAGGAGGAUUUCCUUAUUGUUGCCCUUUCGGUACUGUUAAGCAAUAGUUUUAGGCAGAAAUAAAGUUUUCCUACAGGA